rnacentral:lncRNA from 1 species
AAAAACUUACAACUUUUGGCUUGAAAAAACUUUGGAUUAAAGCAAUUUUUUUAUUUUUUUUAUAUUUUUAUUUUUAUAUACACAUAAAUAAAUUUAAUACUAUUAAUGAAUUUAAUAUUGUCACUUCGCCAAACUUGAGAAUUUUGAAAUUGUGAAUUAAGCCACUUUUUUUUUGGAAAACCUAUGCUUCUUGGUGAUGCUUGAACCCAGAGCUCUAGGCUUCUUCUUGUUCAUAGAUUUAUUCGUUCUUCACAUCCUUCUGAUACUUCUUCAUCCCACUUAUCCUUUUAUCAAUUAUCUUCUAUUUAAAGGAAUAAUUUUCUGUCAAAACUCCGUGAGAGGGGAGAACUUAGCGCGAUCAAUCUAUUGAUAUGGGCACAUUAAUCUUUGUAAGU